UACGUAGGGUGCGAGCGUUGUCCGGAUUUAUUGGGCGUAAAGGGCUCGUAGGCGGCGUGUCGCGUCGGGAGUGAAAGCCCGUUGCUUAACGGCGGGUUGGCUUUCGGUACGGGCAUGCUGGAGUGCGGCAGGGGGAGACGUGAAUUCCUGGUGUAGCGGUGGAAUGCGCAGAUAUCGGGAAGAACACCCGUGGCGAAGGCGGCUCUCUAGUACGGUACUGACGCUGAGACGCGAAAGCGUGGGGAGCGAACAGG
rnacentral:rRNA from 1 species